CACCAGACUCCUACGGGAGGCAGCAGUGAGGAAUAUUGGUCAAUGGGCGCGAGCCUGAACCAGCCAAGUCGCGUGAGGGAGGACGGCCCUACGGGUUGUAAACCUCUUUUGCCGGGGAGCAACGGGCGUCACGUGUGGCGCCACUGAGAGUACCCGGAGAAAAAGCAUCGGCUAACUCCGUGCCAGCAGCCGCGGUAAUACGGAGGAUGCGAGCGUUAUCCGGAUUUAUUGGGUUUAAAGGGUGCGUAGGCGGUCCGUUAAGUCAGCGGUAAAAUGGCGGGGCUAAACCCCGGCGAGCCGUUGAAACUGGCAGACUUGAGUUGGCGAGAAGUACGCGGAAUGCGCGGUGUAGCGGUGAAAUGCAUAGAUAUCACGCAGAACUCCGAUUGCGAAGGCAGCUUACUAAGCCAUAACUGACACUGAAGCACGAAAGCGUGGGGAUCAAACAGGAUUAGAUACCCUCGUA
rnacentral:rRNA from 1 species